UUUGGUGGCGAUAGCGAAGAGGUCACACCCGUUCCCAUUCCGAACACGGCAGUUAAGCUCUUCAGCGCCGAUGGUAGUUGGGGGUUUCCCCGUGAGAGUAGGACGCCGCCAAGC
rnacentral:rRNA from 1 species